rnacentral:lncRNA from 1 species
AUGCAGGCCGUUCACACGGAAGAGAACAAGCUCCGCUCUCUGAGGCGCAGGGGAAGGACUGCUGGCGGCUGCCUGAGGAUCUCUGCACAGCUGGUCAUGAAACCUAGGGUCUCAAACCUAAGAAUUAUAAUGGAAUCCACAAAAAAAUGUUACAGUCAAUCACAUUUCAGUAUUUCAGGUUCUCACGGUGUAUGUGGUGGUGAAGAAGUUCUGUUCAUAUGUUUUUCAUUGGCUUUAGAGCCAGAUGGAUCAGACCUCAGAUUUCAUCCUUGGAUCUUGCAAGCUGUGUAGCUGUAGAUAAUUAACCCAUCACACAAGGCUCGGUUUAUCCUUCUGUGUGAAGCAGGUAUAUCACUUAUGUCCUGAGUGGUUGUGAGAAUGCAACAACAUAACGUAUGUGUGGUACUCAUUCCAGAGCGUUGUACACACACUGUGUUAAAGGUGUUUACUGUUGAUGCAUGGAAGAUGCCAGGCACCUUAUGGGGCAGUCAGGAUGCUACUACCCUAAGCCAGAUUGAAAUUAUUCAAAAAGUAUUAAUGAGAGAGGACUGGCACCAACAGAGCUGAGCUAAGCUCCCUGUAUAUAACUGCCAUGGGAAAGAGGGCAGGACAGGAGAGCAAUAGGGACAACUCUGAAACUGCAAAGAAGUGACAGGAAUCCUACACAGCAUGUGAAGUAGGACAGAUGACCUAGAGAAAAGAACAAAGCAAUUCUCAACUUCAACCCUGUGUUCUCCAGUUGGGGAACAAUAUCUCAACGCAGCCAGCAAAAGGUCAGCAGGAAAAUGCCACAAUGCUCACCAUAGUAGCAGACCUGCUGUCCCAGCGCAGAACUGUUUGGUUUUCCAAGAUUUAAAUUCAGACAGGGAGUUCACUGGUCAAAAAGGGACUCUUCUGCUUUAAGGGAGGAAUUGCUCUGGACCUCACCUAACCUGUAGGUCUCAAACUACCACAACAGCCACUGUGAGGAUUUGCCUUGGCCUAGAGGAUGGCCACCCCUGGAUCUGUCAAUAGUACUGGGCUUUGUGUGCCUCGCUGGACAGAAAGCUGCCUCCUAGUGCCCUGCAACCUCAGGACGGAUGGGUGUCCUGCCACAAGCCUAUGUGACCCUGCAGGUUCUUCACGACAACUACAGAAGGUCUCAGAGCUUGCAAAUUAAAAACUGACCAACAAACAAGCAGGGACUUCUCAAAAGAAACAUACAAAUGGCCAACGAGUCCAUGAAAAAAUGUGCAGUUGCACUGAUUAUCACAGAAAUGUAUCAACACUACAAUGAGGUAUCAUCGCAUCCGGGUUUGAAUGGCUAACAUCAAAAAUUUAACAGUAACAAACAGUCCCAAGGACGAAAAGGAACACAACUCCAUACAUUGUUGGUGCCUCUGUCAGUGAGCAUAGCCACUAUGGAAAACACUGUGAAGAUACUUUUUUUUUAUUAUUUAUUAUUAAAUUCUUUUAUUGGUACAUUGUAGGUAUACAAGACAAUUACAUUUCUCAUUGGGAAUU